AAAUAUAUUUAGAAAUCUCUAAAACGAAUGUUAUCAAAAAAUAAUUAUUUACUUAUACUUGUUAUGAAAAUAUUAACGACUUUCAAGAAUUAACAAAAAAUGUACACAUAAUAAGUAUUCGUAUAGUCCUUGAUUCGUGACAUUUUACAUAAGAUAAAUACAAGAUAAUACAUCUUAUGUCAAUACAUUUAGAAUCAGUAUGUUUGGAGACGUCGCCGAUACAAAUAGUAUUUCAGAUUUAUAUAUAAUCAACAAUGAUAAUUAUAAAAUGAUGAGAUAAUGGUCUACGAAUUAAGGAAUUAUUGAAAAAUAUGGAGAUCAAAACUCUUUAAAAAAAUAAUCCAUAGAAAGUAAAAGCAAAAUAAAAAAGUACGUAGAAACGAUUAAAAUUUUCGAAAGACUAAAUCAAUAUUCCUAUGAAGUAUUGAAAUCAUUAUUAUAUUUACUGAUGAAAAUAAAUUUAACAUAUUUAUAUCGGAUGGAUGAUACGCUAUUUGGAAAGAAAAAAAUACUGAAUAUAUGUAAAACUAUUUCUAGACGUCCGUAAAGCAUGAAAGAGACUUGAUUACAGUUCGGAGUUGGAUAAAUGUAAAAGUAUUUGAAUUUUUCUAUUUUAUUGAUGAUAACAUAAUAUUAAUAUUAAAUAUUUUAAAAUAACAUCUUCAAGGUAAUACAAAUAAAAUUGAAUUACAAGACAAUUAUAUAUCAUUUUACAAGAUAAUAAUCUAAAAUUCGCUUACGAUAUGCGACAAUGGAUCUUGUAUAAGAUAUCAAAUUAUAAUAAUUAAAAAUACCAUGCAUAAUCUUCAGACUUGAAUGUUAUUUCCCCCAAAAACUUUUUUCUUUUGUAAACGUAGAAAUCUACGAAUAAUUAUUACCCCGUACAUUUUCUGCUAAUUUUUGAAAAUUUGUUAAUAUUUUCAUUACAAAUAUAAAUAAAUAAUUAUUUUUUAAUAACAUUCGUUUUACAGAUUUCUGAGAAUAUACAUAUAUAUAUAUUUUUUUUUGUUAAAAUUUUUUUGUAAUAAACAAAAUUCUACAAAAUUCUUGUUCAAAUUCAUUGCUGUACGAAUAAUUUUUACGCUCAUUGUAUACUAUUAUCUUUCGAUGAGUUAAAAAAUUAAUCGGAUAAUCAUUUAAAUUUCUAUGAUAAUGGAACUUGUUCACAGAUAUUUUCGUUUUAUCGCUCGUUAACAAUGACGUCAAAACAAUUCUCGCAAUCCGAUUGGUUAUCCUUAAGAACCGUAGCAAUAGAAUUUCAACACGUUGAAUAUUUCAACCGUUACUGUUACUUUUACGGCUACUUUUACGGAGUCUGAAUCGAGUUAAGCGAUUGGUCGUAACUUUAAUGUUACUGUUACGAAAAGUUUCUGCGAUCAGAAUGGUACAUACUAAUUAGCCGUUUCUCCUUUUAUUUUCGUUUCUUAUCUUCUCUUAUCGUACAUACCUACUUUUCUUUUUUCUUUUUUUAUCUAUCCUUAUUACAAUCGUUAUCACCAAUUCAUGAUACUAGUUUUUCUUUCUAUUCCAUUAAUUUGCAUCUACCAUUGAUUUUAUUUUUAUCGAUUCUCACUUAUAUAAUUUUUCGAUAUAAUUAGUUAUUAAUUAAUUUUAAUAAUAUGAAAUUGAUAUGAAGAAAAAUGAAAAUUCGCUGAUUGAUCAUCGAUGUGUUUUUCUUGUUAUGGGAAAAAUAAAUAAAUAAAUCUAAAAAAAA